GAGCUAGUGCAUCUGGCAUGAAGGUUGGCCAUAUUUUUUUAUGAGCGAUUCUCCGUGCCUUUCAAAUAUCAUUUUGACUAUGGCCUCGAACAAAUCGCCAUAUU